GAUGAACGCUGGCGGCGUGCCUAAUACAUGCAAGUCGAGCGAACAGAUAAGGAGCUUGCUCCUUUGACGUUAGCGGCGGACGGGUGAGUAACACGUGGGUAACCUACCUAUAAGACUGGGAUAACUUCGGGAAACCGGAGCUAAUACCGGAUAACAUUUUGAACCGCAUGGUUCUAAAGUGAAAAACGGUUUUGCUAUCACUUAUAGAUGGACCCGCGCCGUAUUAGCUAGUUGGUAAGGUAACGGCUUACCAAGGCAACGAUACGUAGCCGACCUGAGAGGGUGAUCGGCCACACUGGAACUGAGACACGGUCCAGACUCCUACGGGAGGCAGCAGUAGGGAAUCUUCCGCAAUGGGCGAAAGCCUGACGGAGCAACGCCGCGUGAGUGAUGAAGGGUUUCGGCUCGUAAAACUCUGUUAUUAGGGAAGAACAAAUGUGUAAGUAACUAUGCACGUCUUGACGGUACCUAAUCAGAAAGCCACGGCUAACUACGUG
rnacentral:rRNA from 1 species